rnacentral:rRNA from 1 species
UACGGAAGGUGCAAGCGUUGUUCGGAUUGACUGGGCGUAAAGCGCACGUAGGCGGAAAAGUAUGUCGGUUGUGAAAUCCCCGGGCUCAACCUGGGAACUGCAACCGAAACUGCUUUUCUUGAAUACUGGAGAGGUUGAUGGAAUUCCAGGUGUAGGAGUGAAAUCCGUAGAUAUCUGGAGGAACACCAGCGGCGAAGGCGGUCAACUGGCCAAGUAUUGACGCUGAGGUGCGAAAGCGUGGGGAGCAAACAGG